GUCCAGACUCCUACGGGAGGCAGCAGUGGGGAAUAUUGCACAAUGGGGGAAACCCUGAUGCAGCGACGCCGCGUGAGUGAAGAAGUAUUUCGGUAUGUAAAGCUCUAUCAGCAGGGAAGAUAAUGACGGUACCUGAGUAAGAAGCCCCGGCUAACUACGUGCCAGCAGCCGCGGUAAUACGUAGGGGGCAAGCGUUAUCCGGAUUUACUGGGUGUAAAGGGAGCGUAGACGGCAUGGCAAGUCUGAAGUGAAAGCCCGGGGGUCAACCGCGGGACUGCUUUGGAAACUGUUAAGCUGGAGUGCAGGAGAGGUAAGUGGAAUUCCUAGUGUAGCGGUGAAAUGCGUAGAUAUUAGGAGGAACACCAGUGGCGAAGGCGGCUUACUGGACGGUAACUGACGUUGAGGCUCGAAAGCGUGGGGAGCAAACAGGAUUAGAUACCCCGGUAGAC
rnacentral:rRNA from 1 species